CCUCUACCUCUUGCAUCUGCGCCCUGAUGAGGAGGUCCAGCUGCCCGCAGAGACACAGCAUCUCCACAGCCACCUGCUCUGGACUCAGUUUUAGGACUGAGAGACGGUCUCACCCUGUCUGGCAGGGUGCAUCUCAUUGAACCGCUUCAGGAUGUUUGAAACCAUGAGAGCCGCCGCCCCGGACGAGCUGUGCUGCCUAGGGAUGUCAGCCUGCUGGGUGAGCCCCGACGCCAUGUCGUACACGAUAGGGACAAUGAUGCUGACGGGCUCCUGCGGCACGGGCACACGCUGUGUCAGCUGCAA